AUAAUGAACUUUUUGGCUGUCUCCCGCACCAUGUAUGUGUCACUGCUUCUCGUAGUUCUGUUUGUGAUAUCAACACACAGUUUCACCAGCUCAGAGGAGGCAUGGAAAAUUACAGGCCUACAUAUCUCAUCGAGAGAGAAGAUCCGUCAUGGAUAACAAUCUAGCGUCAGAACUCUUCAAUCGCGGAGACUCGAAUAACGAUGAAUUACUGUCGCCGUCGGAAAUAAAAGACUUCUACGAGACAGUGAUUGGAUUCCCGCCGAAUCUCGCCUUAUUUAUGUCAACAGGUUUCAUGAGGAAUGGAGACAACAAUGGCGACCACCAACUCGACUUCACUGAGACACUGUCUGCCAUUCAGACCAUUGAAGGAAAAUGAUGCGGAUAUUGCCCGGUCGGAUUCAGAGAAAUUUGAAAUCACCCUGUCGCAAUAGAAACUCCCCAAACAUAGUCUCUGGCACCGUGAUAUUAAUUGUGGACGACGAGCUUAGUCUCUGACACCGUGAUAUUAAUUGUGGACGACGAGCUUAGUCUCUGCGGUUUAUAAUGAAAUUGUUACUCAGCAUUGUAUGAGACGGUUAUAUUAUCAUCGUGUGAUUUUGAACCGGAAAGGAUCAUGUGAUUUUCAAAUAUCGUUUUUUUUUUUUUUUAUUUAUUUAACAUUUGAUUUUGAAGGACGUGGAAUAAAGUAAAAGCAUAUAAUUGUUAUAUAUAUAUUGUUUCAAGGUAUUUUAAAAUAAAAUUUAACAGGAACAUAGACGUUCUUGAGUAUUGGUUUCCCAGUGGCCAUUUCGUUUCAUCAGAAAGUUUCAUUUAUGUGUGGAUCUAUGACAAACUUGGCCAUGAUCUCCCGUAAUCACUGAGCACAUCACAUUCUUCUAAAACCAGGGGAUUGACAUCUGUAGAGUGGACUAGUAAUCGGUUGAUCUUAGUACGAUUUUGGAUUAAUGUAAAUUGUACAUAAACUUGUACAAACCUUACAGAACGUCUACUUAUACUUUGUGAAUACAGAAAAGAACUUUA